CAGUAGCCGCGGUAAUACGUAGGUGGCAAGCGUUGUCCGGAGUUAUUGGGCGUAAAGCGCGCGCAGGUGGUUUAAUAAGUCUGAUGUGAAAGCCCACGGCUCAACCGUGGAGGGUCAUUGGAAACUGUUAAACUUGAGUGCGGGAGAGAAAAGUGGAAUUCCUAGUGUAGCGGUGAAAUGCGUAGAGAUUAGGAGGAACACCAGUGGCGAAGGCGGCUUUUUGGCCUGUAACUGACACUGAGGCGCGAAAGCGUGGGGAGCAAACAGGAUUAGAUACCCGUGUAGUCCCUGUCUCUUAUAC
rnacentral:rRNA from 1 species